rnacentral:lncRNA from 1 species
CACACACACACACACACACACACAUAUAUACACACAGACAGACAGACAGACACACACACACACACUGCCUUAGGCAUUUAACCUCUUAUUGAAAGAAGCAUUUAUUUUGAUGUUCGGCGGUCAUUUUUCAAAUCGAAGACAAGGAAGAGAGAAUAUUGACGUUGGUUGCGAGAUACAGAAGAAUAAGAAUAAGAACAUACAGAAGAAGAAGAACAGAGAAUAUUUCCACAGCUCCACGAGCUCUUUUCGCAAUUGGCGAAAGCAUCAUAUUUGAAAUGUAUCAAGGGAUGACACAGAUACCUCUGGCUCUGAGCAAGACAGUGAGCCAGAGCAGCCAGGAGAUGUCAUCGAGCCCUCCCAACUGCAUCAAGCACCAGAUAUGCUGUUCCAAAAGGACCCAAUGACAUUUCAAGAUCCAGAGAAGAGGGUCCUGCACAGCCGUGUUUGAACACAUUUCCCAGAACGCAGCAUGGUACUAGGAAAAGGGCUUUCAACAGCUCCUGGUAUAAAGACAAUUCAUGGCUUGAAUAUUUUGUAAGUCAAGAUUCGACUUAUUGUUUCGCCUGUCGGCAUUUUUCUCUGCCCAAUACACCUGAAUCUGCCUUCACAUCAAAGUCAGGUUUAUGUAACUGGAAAAAGGUGCUGUUUAAAGAUUCUGGGUUUAAGCUCCAUUCGAAGGCAGAGCAUCAUAUCAAUGCUAUAUAUGCUUGGAAUCAGUAUAAAAGGGCUAUUGACAGCAACUCCUCAAUGUUAGACGUCGUAAAUGAGGACUGGAAAAAGAAAGUGGAGGAAAACUGUACUUACAUUAAAACAAUUGCAAUGUGCUCCUAUUAACUGGCACUCAAAAUAUAGAGCAGAGAGGUCAUCGAGAGUGAUGACUCUCACAAGGGUAAUUUUUUGACAAUCUUAGAAGAAAUAGCAAAGCAUGACCAUCUCAAAGAGAAAAAGAUGAAUGCAUGUGGCAAUGCUAAGUACACAAGCCAUCAAAUCCAGAACAAAGUUCUUGAGGGCUUAGCUGAGAUGGUACAAAGUGAAAUAAUAAGAGAAGUAAAAGAAAGUUACGUUUUUAGUGUAAUUGCAGAUGAAACCAAAGAUUUAAAGAAAAAAUAAAUGUUGUUAGUUGUGAGGUACUAUUACAACGGGGCCAUCGACGAAAGCUUUUUACACUUUCAGUCAGUUGAAAGCUUAGAUGCAGCAGGUCUCACAAAAAUUAUAAUUGAUUGCUUUGAAAAACAUGGUCUGGACUACAUAAAUAAUCUUGUGGUGCAAGGCUAUGACGGUGCAUCCGUCAUGAGCGGAAAGCAUUAUGGUGUCUGCACGGAUUAAAAACAGUGCAAGAUUUGCAUUUUAUGUGCACUGUAAUGCUGUAAUGUUUUGCUUUCGCUAUAAAGCCUUUUUGAAAUCGGACAGUGUGGUUAGAUAAAGGAGAGUCUUGUCUUUAAAAUGCUGUGAAAUAGUCAUAUGUUUGAAAAAUUGAAGUUUUUGUAUUUUUGAGGAAUUUGUAAUUCGCGCCACGCCUAUCAUUGGAUAUUGGAGCAGGUGUUCCGCUAGUGGAACGUCUAGAUGUAAGAGGUUAAGGCAGCGCCCUGCACCUCUCUGAAGACACAUUUCAGUUGAUACAUUCAGUUGGACAACUGAGUAGGUAUUCCCUUGACUGCGUUUGCUACUAACAGAGAUAUGGUUGUUGUAUUCAUUCGUUUUAGUCCAGUGGCCUUCACCAAGUAAGAUACUAAGUGAAUAUGUUGUCAUUAAAAUGUAAUUUUUUAAGACAAUACAGUACUUCAUAAAACCUUAUUUUAAAGUCCUAGUUGUCAUAGUUUAUAGGCCACAUCAGGACUGCAAGUCACAUUAUGCUGGCUUGCAAAGUAAUAUGUAAUUCCUAUUGGAAUCAGCCAGAGUGGGGAUAGCCAAUAUUUAGAUUUUUUUAUUCAUCCGCAACCUGCAUUCAGAAUUACUGCCAUGGUUGAGAAGACAAUGAUAUGAG